CGCUGGCGACGCGGUUGUUCUAGGACACUUGCUUGGUACAUACCCGUCGUCCCCCACCGGCUGCUCGCCCGAUCGGCGCCCCCUCCUCCGCCUCCUCAUCGCGUACAAGGCACCCCUCCGCGAUCCAUGUGGAUGAUUCUUCGCCGGCUCGUGUUCGCGGCCUUCGUCUGCACACUGGGCCGCCGCGCGGCGCCGGUGUUCGACGGAAUGCCCCGCCGGGAGAGGGUUCUGAAAGGUCCGGCCGGUGAUCGGUGUGCGCAAUUUUAAAGUUGGAUAGAAAAGGCGAGGCUUUUGUUUUGGGCGAGAAAGAUGGCAACCCAGGCUACUGGACAGCCAGUUGUUG